AAGUGACGGUACCUGCAGAAGAAGCACCGGCUAACUACGUGCCAGCAGCCGCGGUAAUACGUAGGGUGCGAGCGUUAAUCGGAAUUACUGGGCGUAAAGCGUGCGCAGGCGGUUUUGUAAGUCAGAUGUGAAAUCCCCGAGCUCAACUUGGGAACUGCGUUUGAAACUACAAGACUAGAAUAUGUCAGAGGGGGGUAGAAUUCCACGUGUAGCAGUGAAAUGCGUAGAUAUGCGGAGGAACACCGAUGGCGAAGGCAGCCCCCUGGGCCUGUACUGACGCUCAUGCACGAAAGCGUGG
rnacentral:rRNA from 1 species